GUAGGUGGCAAGCGUUGUCCGGAAUUAUUGGGCGUAAAGCGCGCGCAGGCGGUUCUUUAAGUCUGAUGUGAAAGCCCACGGCUCAACCGUGGAGGGUCAUUGGAAACUGGAGAACUUGAGUACAGAAGAGGAAAGCGGAAUUCCACGUGUAGCGGUGAAAUGCGUAGAGAUGUGGAGGAGCACCAGUGGCGAAGGCGGCUUUCUGGUCUGUAACUGACGCUGAGGCGCGAAAGCGUGGGGGGAGCAAACAGGAUUAGAUACCCUGGUAGUCCACGCCGUAAACGAUGAGUGCUAAGUGUUAGGGGGUUUCCGCCCCCCCCUUAGUGCUGCAGCUAACGCAUUAAGCACUCCGCCUGGGAGUACGGCCGCAAGGCUG
rnacentral:rRNA from 1 species